UACGGAGGGUGCAAGCGUUAAUCGGAAUUACUGGGCGUAAAGCGUACGCAGGCGGUUUGUUAAGUCAGAUGUGAAAUCCCCGGGCUCAACCUGGGAACUGCAUUUGAUACUGGCAAGCUUGAGUCCCGUAGAGGGGGGUAGAAUUCCAGGCGUAGCGGUGAAAUGCGUAGAGAUCUGGAGGAACACCGGUGGCGAAGGCGACCCCCUGGGCCUAGACUGACGCUCAGGUACGAAAGCGUGGGGAGCAAACAGG
rnacentral:rRNA from 1 species